UCGAAGCGCAAUCAGUCACGCGAGAAAAAAAUCUGAAUUUCUGUUUAAUAAUUUGUUGUUUUAAACCAUCAAUAAAAUUGAAACUAUGUUUAAUAAUCAUGGGAGAAGUUUCUAUUAGUGUUUAUGUGUUGUGUUGUGGCGAAAACGGAGUUUUUACAUGAGAAACAUGAUGAUUUCUUUUGUCAUACGUUUGGUGUGUUGAUAAAAAAAGAUCAUUUUUUCGUGACGACAGGCCAUUAAGAAAAAAUGAAUACACACACAAGCAUAGACUCCAUCAAAAUUGGUAACAUGAAUGUAGACAUAGAUCCAUUGAGCACAUACGAAUAUCCUACUUAUAGCAGUUACAAUAAUAUACCAAAUCCCCAUCAAUAUUCAUAUGACGUUAAGGUUGAAAAUCCUAUAAACGAAUUCCUCCAAUCAUUCAUGAAUGUAUCGAACAACGAUAAUGAUGUAAAGUUACCAGAACAGAACCAAGAAAACAUAAGUGAUAAAGAAGUUAUAAAAAAUACUAUAAAUGAAGAUGUUAAACCUAAUAUAGAUGUAAAGAGUAUAAAAAAAGAAAGAAAUGGAAAGAAAAGCAAUUAUUGGUCUGAAAAAAUAACAGAUAACACGUUCGCGUUUUACGGAUGCGCCGUCUGUAACGUACGUUAUACAGCGUUACACGAACUGGACCAGCAUGUAACAAUACACAAAGAUAGAAUAACAAGUUAUGAUUUGAAAAUUAAAAACCAAUUGAAACGGAAAAAGUUGAAAAAAGAACAGAAAAGACUGAAAAAAAUGGGGAAAAUCAAAACUGAAGAUUUCACUGUCGACAUAAAACCGGAGGAUGGUUAUAUUGGUAAUGAAAAAGCUUCAGAAUUCAAUUUUAACGAAAAUCCCGAUAACGGAAUUCCAGGAAAUGGUGUAAAAGAUAAUGGAAACGCAGAAAAUGGACAAGUUAACAAUAGUGUAGAUGGGAGGAUAAAUACAAAUAAUGAAAGUUGUGCAAAUAGUAAUGGAAAUAAUUCUAGAAGUAAUGAAAAUGAGAAUGGACCAAACGGUAGAGUUAAGCAGCCCAAUCUCAAUUUAGAGAAGAUAUAUAAGUGUUUUGCAUGCCAGAAACAAUUUACUUUGAGUUAUUACUUGAAGCUACAUGUAAGAUCACACACAGAUGAAAAACCGUACACAUGUAGUAUAUGUGGCCAGUCCUUCAUAACGGCGAGCAAACUCGGGAGGCACAACAAGAGAAUACAUCUGGCCAUCCGAUACCAGUGCCGAAUAUGUUAUAGGUUUUUUUCUAAGUUUGAAUAUUUGACUAGACAUUUUGACAAGAAACAUCUUGAAGACAAACUGGAGGGGGAACCAUACGAUUACAACGCGAUAUUGCCGUAUCUGAAAGAGUUAGAAGAACAAUUGAGAGAGAAAGCAGAAGAGACCAAGCCGAAGGCAGAAGACUUGUGGGAGGACUGGCCGCCACCGCCCAGUAACCAAUUUCAAGAGGUAGACAACAAAGACAUGGACGGAGAGAGACCUCUGGAUAUAGUUCUAGAACAAGUGAAGGUGGACUUUGAAGUGGUGAAGUUGGACUGUGAUGUUGAAGUGAAGAAGGAGCUCGAGGAAGAAUCGACACAUGAAGAAACUGAAGAAUUUAAAGAAGACUGUAAAGAUGAUAAUAUAUCAGACGAUGACUAUUUCCCUUCAAACACCUGGGCGUCAACUCCCAAAAUAGAGAGCGAUCCACCAUCUCCCAUUCAGUCACGUCGUAAGACUGAAGGUCCACUGGAAUGCAAGAUAUGCCACAAGAGUAUCAGCACAGCAUCAUACAUGAGGAUACAUAUGAGGACUCACACUGGAGAAAAGCCAUUCAAAUGUUAUAUUUGUAAUAGAGGAUUUAUCACGUCAAGCAAGAUGCAUAGGCAUGUGUUAACGCAUUCCGAGUCUUGGGAAGGUGAGGACGGCGCUGAACUAAAAAUGGAGAAUAUCAAGUCUGAAGAAGAAGAGGGUGAUGAGAAGAAAAAAGUGGAUAAAAAGGCCCUGAUCAAGAAGGCGAAGGCCAAGUUUGCGAAGAAAAUGAAGAAGUCAGAAGUAAGUCGACGGUCACAACGGCGGCCACACGCCUGCAGCUUCUGUCACAAGAGAUUCCUACACCUGGAGACUUUACAGGUACACAAAAAAAGUCAUGAAGGUGAAAAUCUGGUGCUGAAAUGCAACUUCUGCUUGGAGGAGGCGGCUGAUGAUGAAGCCCUAACUACACAUGAGGCCACUCACACGGGGCCCAAACCCUACCUAUGUACCAUAUGCGGGAAGUCAUACAAACGUAGAGAGACUAUGAUAUACCAUAGAAAACACCAUAAACCAGAGAAGGAAUACAUCUGCGAUAUAUGUUCUAAGACAUUUAACGCGCCAUGCAAACUCCAAAGACACAUCGUCAGCCAUAGGGUGGACAAAUUUGUGCUCCGCUACGAAUGUCCAGUUUGUGCGCACAUGUUCAACACAAAAUAUCACAUUAAAAUGCAUUUGGCGACUCACCAGAAGGAGGGACUAAUCAUAGAAGAAAACCGAAACGACAUACUAGCGAUGGUGCUGCAGAAUGCUCGUAAAAUACCCAAACACGCGGACGGACAAGCAAAUAUCGACAUGAUACCACCGGACGAGCGAAGCCGCGUGUGCAACAUAUGCGGCCAGGUUUUCCAACAUUUCUAUUACCUCGAAGAGCAUUUAAAGAGUCACGGCUCUAAAAUAGCAAUAGAGGAUAUAACAAAGACAGAAGAAAAGAAACACACGUGUCCCGUUUGCAAUAAAAGCUUCAAGUUACAUUACUACUUGAAGCUACAUAACUUCACCCACACGAAAGAAAAGCCGUACAUAUGUCAACAGUGCGGAAAAGGGUUCAUCACCAAAGGGAAGUUGAAGAGGCAUUUGGAAACGCACUCCGGUCUUAAGAAGUAUCAAUGUCAUAUUUGUUAUAAAUUCUUCACGAGAACUUCGUAUUUAAGGAUUCACAUCAGGACCAUACAUGGCACGCAGGAUUACAAUUUUAGGCUAGAGAAAGGGUAUGGGGCACAAAUAGGGUCUGGAAUGAUGGGGCAUCAUAAUAUUUAGUUUUGUUAUAUUACCAUACUGUUAUUUUUCUAAAAUAAAAGUAGCAUAAGUUACUCCUUAUUACAGCAGCUACCUCCUAAAAAAGCCCCGUCAAAAUCGGUCCACCCAUUUCAGAGAUUACCCGGAACAAACAGAUAGACAAAGAAAAAUUGUAAAAAAUGUUAUAUUGGUGUACUGUAUUUAUAUUCAUAUGCAUGUAGUAAAAAACUGUUAUUUCAAUAUUACAAACAGACACUCCAAUUUUAUUUAUAUGUAUAGACUAGCUGUACUCACGACUUCGUCCGCGUGGAAUUUAACUUUAUUUUUCUAAAAUAAAAACAGCCUAAGUUACUCCUUAUUACAGCAGCUACCUACUAAAAAAAGUCCCGUCAGGUUCAGCCAUUUCAGAGAUUAGCUUGAACAAACAGACAGACAGAGAAAAAUUAAAAAAUGUGGUAUUGAAUAUAUAUAAUAAGUUGUAAAGGCCAGCUGCGGCCAACAGCAGUCCAAAAAAAAUUAACAUUUUAAAGUCUUUAAGCCUCACCGGACGAUAGGGGCGAGUGCAGAUGGCACUCCAAACCAAAGGUAGGACUUAUAGAGCGGCUGAAGGCCAACUCCCGCCUGACGGAUACGACUUUAGUCUGAGGGCACUGAUAGGAGUUUGGACCUCGGCUCAGGCCGUUCUAAUUUUUUUUCUGUUGUUUUUGACGGAUUUGUUGUAAAUGUAAUAUCAUCAUUCUGUCUCCCUUCCUUUCUUCAACCCCGUCCAAAAUUUGCCUUCAAUCCAAGCAAAUCGAGUCAUUAGACAUUUAUGACGCCUUACUACAGAUGGUCGCGGGUUCGAUUCAUCGCACA